CCUGGUUGUGUUCCCCCAGGAAACCACCCCAAAGCCAAGGGCUGAGGGGCCCGUUUCCACCAUCCAAGCACCAUCUCUGCCCAGUGGCCUCCUCAGGCCCUUGUGGGUGGGAAGGGGUCCAUA